rnacentral:rRNA from 1 species
UGGCUUGCGGCAGCUACACAUGCAGUCGAACGGUAGCACAGAGAGCUUGCUCUCGGGUGACGAGUGGCGGACGGGUGAGUAAUGUCUGGGAAACUGCCUGAUGGAGGGGGAUAACUACUGGAAACGGUAGCUAAUACCGCAUAACGUCGCAAGACCAAAGAGGGGGACCUUCGGGCCUCUUGCCAUCAGAUGUGCCCAGAUGGGAUUAGCUAGUAGGUGGGGUAACGGCUCACCUAGGCGACGAUCCCUAGCUGGUCUGAGAGGAUGACCAGCCACACUGGAACUGAGACACGGUCCAGACUCCUACGGGAGGCAGCAGUGGGGAAUAUUGCACAAUGGGCGCAAGCCUGAUGCAGCCAUGCCGCGUGUAUGAAGAAGGCCUUCGGGUUGUAAAGUACUUUCAGCGGGGAGGAAGGUGUUGUGGUUAAUAACCGCAGCAAUUGACGUUACCCGCAGAAGAAGCACCGGCUAACUCCGUGCCAGCAGCCGCGGUAAUACGGAGGGUGCAAGCGUUAAUCGGAAUUACUGGGCGUAAAGCGCACGCAGGCGGUCUGUCAAGUCGGAUGUGAAAUCCCCGGGCUCAACCUGGGAACUGCAUUCGAAACUGGCAGGCUGGAGUCUUGUAGAGGGGGGUAGAAUUCCAGGUGUAGCGGUGAAAUGCGUAGAGAUCUGGAGGAAUACCGGUGGCGAAGGCGGCCCC